rnacentral:lncRNA from 1 species
AAUGACCAUCUAUUUAUAGCAUUCCUCAUUACAGACUUAGAUGUUGCUUUUAAGAAAUUCUUACAUGCUCAUGCAUUUUCAUCUUCCUUCAGGCUGUUCUAUGGAAGUAACCAUAAAUUGAUCAGAAAAAAUUAAGAGCAUCCAGAUGCUGUGGAGAAAAACUGCAGAAGAAACCUUUUCUAUUUCUGUAAUUCUUAGGAAGGAAAACCCUAAUUCACCACCAUAUGUGAAGGUCAAGUCCACUGACAAACCUACCCUGGUAUACUGAUAAUUAAAAUAAAAAUCUAUAUGCACCUCCUCUGAGAACA